rnacentral:rRNA from 1 species
ACCUGGGAAUGGCGUUUUGAACUGGCAGUCUAGAGUGCGUCAGAGGGGGGUGGAAUUCCACGUGUAGCAGUGAAAUGCGUAGAGAUGUGGAGGAGCACCGAUGGCGAAGGCAGCCCCCUGGGAUGACACUGACGCUCAUGUACGAAAGCGUGGGUAGCAAACAGGAUUAGAUACCCUGGUAGUCCACGCCCUAAACGAUGUCAACUGGUUGUUGGGGGAGUGAAAUCCCUUAGUAACGAAGCUAACGCGUGAAGUUGACCGCCUGGGGAGUACGGUCGCAAGAUUAAAACUCAAAGGAAUUGACGGGGGCCCGCACAAGCGGUGGAGCAUGUGGUUUAAUUCGAGGCAACGCGAAGAACCUUACCAGCCCUUGACUUCCCGAUCGGGGGACCAGAGAUGGACCUCUUCAAUUGGUCGGUGACAGGUGCUG